AGUUGAUCAUGGCUCAAGAACGAACGCUGGCGGCGCGCCUAAUACAUGCAAGUCGAGCGAGAAGGUGUAGCAAUACACUUGUAAAGCGGCAAACGGGGUGAGGAAUGCAUGGGUAACCUACCCUCGAGUGGGGAAUAACUAGCCGAAAGGUUAGCUAAUACCGCAUACGUUUCCGGAACUUCGGUUUCGGAAAGAAAGCAAUACCGUGGGUAUUGCGCUCCUGGAUGGGCUCAUGUCCUAUCAGCUUGUUGGUGAGGUAACGGCUCACCAAGGCUUCGACGGGUAGCUGGUCUGAGAGGACGAUCAGCCACACUGGCACUGCGACACGGGCCAGACUCCUACGGGAGGCAGCAGUAAGGAAUAUUGCGCAAUGGACGAAAGUCUGACGCAGCGACGCCGCGUGGGGGAUGAAGGUCUUCGGAUUGUAAACCCCUUUCGGGAGGGAAGAUGGAGUGGGUAACCACUUGGACGGUACCUCCAGAAGCAGCCACGGCUAACUUCGUG
rnacentral:rRNA from 1 species